GGGAGUGCGGGGCAGCACCUCAGGCUCCCAGGGGGCUGAUGGCCCCGGGACCUGCUUAAAGGCCCGGGUGGGGCUGGUGGCAAGGGCAGCGCUUCCAGCAAGACCCCGGGAGGCUGAGCGCUGGUCGCAGAACAGGCUGCGAGGCAGGCGUCGGGGACCUUCAGGCAUUGAACUAGGUAUCUUAAACCUACUUUCCCGCAUACUCUUGCGUGCAUGUGAUGGAGAGCGAUGCAGCCAAGGUCACGUUUCGGGAAAGCUGUCAGACGGUGUGAGCGCUGAGGGUGGACGGCACCCCCCAGGCCAGCGCUGGAGAGACCCCGGCCGAGGAACCUGCGGCCGCCCAGGGCGACGGGGGCCAAGAAACAACCCCUUGACCCUGGAGAGGAACAGAGCCCAGAAGUCAGAGAGAUGGAAACACUUCGCAGUUCACCGUGAAGUGAGACCACAACCUUGUGGCCUUGAAAAUUGACCAAAAUCGAUAACUCUGAGCUUCAGCGACUUAGUGUCUGUAGUAGAACAAAAUUUCUUCAGUCUGACUAAAUCCCCAAUUCGCUGGGUGAGUCUAUACCCCGUGCCCGGAGCUGGAUCUCCCACGGUGCUGUCUCAUUGAAGAUGCUGUUCCAUUUUCUCGCCAUGCUUUGAAUUUUUUUGUGUGUUGGGGUAAAGUAUAUUACCCUGCACUGCUUUUAUUUGGUUUAUUUCUUGAAGGUAUAACUCAAUAGCAAGAUAUAGGAUAAGAAUAAUGCAUAAUUUGGAUACAUUAUGUUGGUUAGCAAACUUUUCAGGGAAUUUUAAAAACAUCAAUUUUGGUGUUUAGAAAUCACCAAGAAGAUGACAAAAUAAUAAUAAUAAAUAAGCAAAGGAUGAAAAUGUGAAUUCAGAAAUAUAAAGGGCCAGCACGUAUGUGGGCAGAGGUCCAACAUCACAGGAGUCGUAAAAGCAAAACCCCAUUUCUCUCUCACACUCUUGGUCAAAACAAAAAAGAACGGCAAUGUCAGGAUGAAGCCAAAGGAGCUAGCUCCCUUCCAGUACAACUAUCAACUAACAAAUUUUGGGGCAUGAUUGGGACAUAUUUUAAAAGCUUUAAGGUUUUGCUUGGCGUUUAACCCACACCAUUUGUCUCCCAUAUAAAUUCCAUGCAGAGUGGGUGGUGACCUGGAAUGGCUCCUCCCAGCCCAGUGCCAUCCCUUGCUAGGGUUCUGGUAUGAGCAGCUGAGUAGAACAUGGUGCCAUUUAUUCACUGACACUGAGAAUGAAGGAGAAGGAUCAACUUUAGGGGGACUGUAGAAAAACAUUUGUCAGAUAUAGCUACAGGGAAGUUAUUGUGCACCUUAUAUGCAGCAUUUUCAGCUGCAUGUUGGAAGAAAAGAGAGAUACAAGUGAAUUGAGGAAUGCAUUGGGGAUGGUGGUAAGGAAACGGAGAGAGAAAAGUAGACACGUUUUCAGGAAGUUUUUGGUGGGGGAAUAAGAGUCAUGUAGAUAAUAAGAGGGGGAGAUAUAGAAUUAAAGGAUUUUUUUUUAGAUAGAAGAUUCUUGAGCAUUUUUAAUGCUAAUGAAUGGACAGAGGAGCUGAGGUUGGAUAUACAACCUCAAGAAAAUAAUUGAUAGAUCAAGGUUUCUGAGGAUUGGGAGGAGGUGGUGGAUCCCAGGGCAUCUGCGGAGGAUCUGAAGUUAAGCAAGAGUUGGGCAUCUGCUUCCAGUUAACAGGAAGGAGGAAUAAGAAAAAAGAUGAUGAAUGAAAAGGAAGGUAGUUUUGUAAAAUUUGUGCUACAAAUUUGAGAUAGACCAAUUGCGGGUGACUGAGCUUGUACCUCGGCUUACCAGGCCUGGGC